rnacentral:ncRNA from 17 species
UCGUUAUCAAGAAAGGUUGAGGGAUUAGACCCUGUGAAACCUUGGCAACCCUCCUGUAAUGGGAGAAGGUGCUACGUUCUACCACGCCAGUCGUGGAUAGAUAACUC